UACAGCUCGCGGCCCCGCCCACCCCUGCCCUCGGCCCGCCUCCUUGGAAAGCGCUUCCGCUGAGGCUUGGCUUGUCAAUGAAGAUCAGAAUGGUAGUGGGAUUUCAUGGUGUUUGAUAGUGGGGUUUCAUGGUGUUUGGAUUCUAAAUGCAAAGGCCUCAGGUAAAAUCAUACCCACUGACCUGAAAUAGCGCCAAUGGGAGAUGGCUUCCAGUCUUACGUGAGACUCAUUCUGUAGCAGGAGAGGAUAAUCAAAGGGAUAUAAAGUUCCAGCCGCAAUUAGAGAAAAAGAGAAGUGAUCUGAGCUCUGCAUCCUGAUGAACCUCUCGGGCAGGAAAUGAGACAUUGAAACUUGGUGCCCUCUAGACAGAAUGAUAAGAACAGAAUUGUUGCCACCUUCAGCCCAAAGAUAUUUAUGAAAUGCCAGGAAGAGCAAGGCACCCAGCCACUCUAAAGAUCUACAGGCAGAAGAGACUGCCAGUCUUACUCUCCUUUCCUGUGGGGGUGGGCAGGGGGUUACUGACCACAGUAAGGCUAUUUGCUGGGAAAAUGGAUUUUUUCUAUUUUUUUAAUAUUAAUUAAUUUGGCUUCGCUGGGUCUUACUUGUGGCAUGUGGAAUCUAGUUUCCCAACCAGGGAUCGAACUUGGGCCCCCUGUAUUGGAAGCAUGCAGUCUCAGCCACUGGACCACCGGGAAAGUCCCUGCUGAAAUGUUUAAACCAUGAGCUGCACACUAAACUUCCAUAAGUAAAACUCUGCCGGAUCUAAGUCCUUGCCUCCUCCCAAGUAUUCUAGCAGGUCCUGUGCACCACAAGACACAGAAAUCGGACCUCUGCCAAUUGGAGAUCAGAUCUCUGCUCCUUCAGAGUGCUUGAGAAAGGGAGGGUGAGAGAUGAAGUUCAGCUCCGCUUGCCAACAGACUGCUGACGUCAGCAGAGCGACUUAAACCAUCUCUAAACAAGGGGCUGUUUCCACAAGUUCCUCUUGAGGAAGUUCUCCGCACAGGUCUGGCUUUGGCCAGGACUUUAGAAUCAGCACUUGGAGGGACGGUGAAGAUACCCAGGGGACCUGGUAUCUCACGGGGAGCACAUUGUAAGGGACACUCAAAUAAGGAAAAUUAAAUUGCUCAUGCUGAAAAGGAAUGAGGACUUCUUUCUCACCUUUCCUCAAAAACUCUGGAGUAUGGUCAGUUCUUUGUCCGACCCUGCUAAAUCACUUCAUUCGUGUCUGACUCUGUGUAACCCCACAGAUGGCAGCCCACCAGGCUCCCCUGUCCCUGGGAUUCUCCAGCCAAUAGGCUGCCAUUUCUGACUCUGCAAUGUAUGCAAAUCUUCUCUGUAAGUUAAACAAGCCUCUUGGGAUUUGACAAACCAGGAGUGUUCCUUCAGGGACCUGGCAGCAAAAGCAGUGACCAAGAGCCCAUAAAGCUACAGGAAAAGGGCAGAAAAUAUCACCGGAAAAAAAAAAUAGUGUAAACAACAGCAGUCCCUUCUCAGAACUCCCUUAGAUUAUAUGCUGUGCAACAUUACAGCUGGACAAAGAGCUCCCCUUCCACAACAGCCAUUUGUCACAGGUCUAGGCAACACAGAGCAAGGAAGAGACAGCAAAGACUUCACUUGCAGACAAAAUCACAAUUCACUUGAGAAAAUGGAAAACAAUCCUGUUCCCACAAUAAAUGCCCUAGUUUAUACAAAAGCCGUUAUCUUCUUAUAGUAUAUCCAUCAGGGCCCGUUGUUAUCUUCUGUCCCUCAGCUAUGCUAACCCAAACGAAAGGCACAGGAAUGGAGAAAGGAGA